rnacentral:misc_RNA from 1 species
GAUGAAGAACGCAGCGAAAUGCGAUACUUGGUGUGAAUUGCAGAAUCCCGUGAACCAUCGAGUCUUUGAACGCAAGUUGCGCCCGAAGCCGUCAGGCCGAGGGCACGCCUGCCUGGGCGUCACACGCCGUUGCCCCCCCGCGCCCCGCACCCAACUCUUUGGGAGCGACCGCGGGGCGGGCUGAUGAUGGCCUCCCGUGCGCUCCGCCGCGCGGUUGGCCCAAAUACCGAGUCCCCGGCGCCAUGCGCCACGACGAUCGGUGGUUGAGAGACCUCUGUCGCAAGUCGUGCGCGCCCGUCGCGUCACGCGGGCUCGCAUAGCGCCUCGCGCCGCACCCGGUGCGGAGCUUUCAACGCGACCCCAGGUCAGGCGGGGUUACCCGCUGAAUUUAAGCAUAUCAAUAAGCGGAGGA